rnacentral:ncRNA from 1 species
UACGAUGGACCGGGGAGAGUCGGAUACUUUGAGAGUAGUGUCUUAAGGGGGUGGUAUGUCCCAUCCAAGGCUAAAUAACGUGAGGAGACCGAUAGAUUACAAGUAGUGUGAACGAAAGAUGAAAAGAACUCUAAAACAGAGGGUGAAAAGUUCCUGAACUUGCUUAGGGUUAAGGCUAUUUAUAGUACCCGUCUUGAAACACGGAUUAGGGAGUUUAUCUGUAGUGCGAGUCUUUGCACGUUAACUGUAAAGGCGUAGAGAAAGCAACUGGCGUUUGCAUGGCUACUGAGCAUUACUGAUAGGACCCGAAAGGUGGUGAACUUUGCCUGCACAGGUUGAAGUCAGGGGAAACUCUGAUGGAGGACCGUACGGGUUAUUGAUGUGCAAAUCAUUUUUCUGAUGUAGGUAAAGGUGCGAAAGACUCAUCGAACCACCUAAUAGCUGGUUUCCUCCGAAGUUUCCCUCAGGAUAGCUGUAAUGCAUUUAGUUAAGGGGAGUAGAGAUAUGGGUAGAGGUGCAGGGAGCCUUCGGGUUCUCAACUUAUUUCCAAACUUCGAACCUCCUUGUUAGGCAUUUACCUAACUGGAAAUGCUUAAAUGAAUUAGCGUUACAAGUGGGCUCUGACCGGUAAGCGGUCAUGGCGAAAUGGGAUGAACCAUACGUCUGAAUAAGGUGCCGAAAUGUACUAUCACUGAUACCAUAAAGGGAGUCCAUGUAUUUAGACAGCAGGUCGGUGCCCCUAAAAGCAGGUAUCCGCUAAAGAGUGUGUUAAAACUCACCUGCCGAAUACUAGGGCCCCGAAAAUGAAUGGCGCAUAUAGUACUACCGAUCUCAGACAUCAGUUCUAUUGAACUGAGAGUAGGGGGAUGUGGACAUUUUUGUGAAGGUGCAAUGUGAGUUGGACUGGAAGAUGUCUAUUACAGAUCCUAAUUGAAGUAGCGAUUAUCCAGGCUUGU